rnacentral:rRNA from 1 species
AGUGAACGCUGGCGGUAGGCCUAACACAUGCAAGUCGAACGGCAGCACAGUAAGAGCUUGCUCUUACGGGUGGCGAGUGGCGGACGGGUGAGGAAUACAUCGGAAUCUACUUUUUCGUGGGGGAUAACGUAGGGAAACUUACGCUAAUACCGCAUACGACCUACGGGUGAAAGCAGGGGAUCUUCGGACCUUGCGCGAUUGAAUGAGCCGAUGUCGGAUUAGCUAGUUGGCGGGGUAAAGGCCCACCAAGGCGACGAUCCGUAGCUGGUCUGAGAGGAUGAUCACCCACACUGGAACUGAGACCCGGUCCAGACCCCUACGGGGGGCAGCAGGGGGGAAUUUUGGAAAAUGGGGGAAACCCUGACCCAGCCUUCCCGGGUGGGUGAAGAAGGCUUUCGGGUUGAAAAGCCCUUUUGUUGGGAAAAAAAAGCAGCAGGUUAAUACCCCGCUGUUCUGACGGUACCCAAAGAAUAAGCACCGGCUAACUUCGU